GAUGAACGCUGGCGGCGUGCCUAAUACAUGCAAGUCGAGCGAACGGACGAGAAGCUUGCUUCUCUGAUGUUAGCGGCGGACGGGUGAGUAACACGUGGAUAACCUACCUAUAAGACUGGGAUAACUUCGGGAAACCGUAGCUAAUACCGGAUAAUAUUUUGAACCGCAUGGUUCAAAAGUGAAAGACGGUCUUGCUGUCACUUAUAGAUGGAUCCGCGCUGCAUUAGCUAGUUGGUAAGGUAACGGCUUACCAAGGCAACGAUGCAUAGCCGACCUGAGAGGGUGAUCGGCCACACUGGAACUGAGACACGGUCCAGACUCCUACGGGAGGCAGCAGUAGGGAAUCUUCCGCAAUGGGCGAAAGCCUGACGGAGCGACGCCGCGUGAGUGAUGAAGGUCUUCGGAUCGUAAAACUCUGUUAUUAGGGAAGAACAUAUGUGUAAGUAACUGUGCACAUCUUGACGGUACCUAAUCAGAAAGCCACGGCUAACUACGUGCCAGCAGCCGCGGUAAUACGUAGGUGGCAAGCGUUAUCCGGAAUUAUUGGGCGUAAAGCGCGCGUAGGCGGUUUUUUAAGUCUGAUGUGAAAGCCCACGGCUCAACCGUGGAGGGUCAUUGGAAACUGGAAAACUUGAGUGCAGAAGAGGAAAGUGGAAUUCCAUGUGUAGCGGUGAAAUGCGCAGAGAUAUGGAGGAACACCAGUGGCGAAGGCGACUUUCUGGUCUGUAACUGACGCUGAUGUGCGAAAGCGUGGGGAUCAAACAGGAUUAGAUACCCUGGUAGUCCACGCCGUAAACGAUGAGUGCUAAGUGUUAGGGGGUUUCCGCCCCUUAGUGCUGCAGCUAACGCAUUAAGCACUCCGCCUGGGGAGUACGACCGCAAGGUUGAAACUCAAAGGAAUUGACGGGGACCCGCACAAGCGGUGGGGCAUGUGGUUUAAUUCGAAGCAACGCGAAGGACCUUACCAAAUCUUGACAUCCUUUGACAACUCUAGAGAUAGAGCCUUCCCCUUCGGGGGACAAAGUGACAGGUGGUGCAUGGUUGUCGUCAGCUCGUGUCGUGAGAUGUUGGGUUAAGUCCCGCAACGAGCGCAACCCUUAAGCUUAGUUGCCAUCAUUAAGUUGGGCACUCUAAGUUGACUGCCGGUGACAAACCGGAGGAAGGUGGGGAUGACGUCAAAUCAUCAUGCCCCUUAUGAUUUGGGCUACACACGUGCUACAAUGGACAAUACAAAGGGCAGCGAAACCGCGAGGUCAAGCAAAUCCCAUAAAGUUGUUCUCAGUUCGGAUUGUAGUCUGCAACUCGACUACAUGAAGCUGGAAUCGCUAGUAAUCGUAGAUCAGCAUGCUACGGUGAAUACGUUCCCGGGUCU
rnacentral:rRNA from 1 species